rnacentral:rRNA from 1 species
GAUCAUGGCUCAGGAUGAACGCUGGCGGCGUGCCUAAUACAUGCAAGUAGAACGCUGAAGGAAGGAGCUUGCUCUUUCCGGAUGAGUUGCGAACGGGUGAGUAACGCGUAGGUAACCUGCCUGGUAGCGGGGGGAUAACUAUUGGAAACGAUAGCUAAUACCGCAUAACAGUAGAUAUUGCAUGAUAUUUGCUUGAAAGGGGCAAUUGCUCCACUACCAGAUGGACCUGCGUUG